AACGAACGCUGGCGGCAGGCUUAACACAUGCAAGUCGAGCGCCCCGCAAGGGGAGCGGCAGACGGGUGAGUAACGCGUGGGAAUCUACCCAUCUCUACGGAAUAACGCAUGGAAACGUGUGCUAAUACCGUAUACGUCCUUCGGGAGAAAGAUUUAUCGGAGAUGGAUGAGCCCGCGUUGGAUUAGCCAGUUGGUGGGGUAAAGGCCUACCAAGGCGACGAUCCAUAGCUGGCCUGAGAGGAUGAUCAGCCACACUGGGACUGAGACACGGCCCAGACUCCUACGGGAGGCAGCAGUGGGGAAUAUUGGACAAUGGGCGCAAGCCUGAUCCAGCCAUGCCGCGUGAGUGAUGAAGGCCCUAGGGUUGUAAAGCUCUUUCACCGGUGAAGAUAAUGACGGUAACCGGAGAAGAAGCCCCGGCUAACUUCGUGCCAGCAGCCGCCGUAACAC
rnacentral:rRNA from 1 species